AGAGUUUGAUCCUGGCUCAGAAUCAACGCUGGCGGCGUGCCUAACACAUGCAAGUCGAACGAGAAAGUGGAGCAAUCCAUGAGUACAGUGGCGUACGGGUGAGUAACACGUGACUAACCUACCUCCGAGUGGGGAAUAACCCCGGGAAACCGGGGCUAACACCGCAUAAUACCGCAAGGUCAAAUGCGUAAGCAGCUUGGAGAGGGGGUCGCGGUUGAUUAGCUAGUUGGUGAGGUAAUGGCUCACCAAGGCGAUGAUCAAUAGCCGGCCUGAGAGGGCGCACGGCCACACUGGAACUGAAACACGGUCCAGACUCCUACGGGAGGCAGCAGUGGGGAAUUUUGCGCAAUGGGGGAAACCCUGACGCAGCAACGCCGCGUGGAGGAUGAAGUCCUUUGGGAUGUAAACUCCUUUCGAUCGGGACGAUUAUGACGGUACCGGAAGAAGAAGCCCCGGCUAACUCUGUGCCAGCAGCCGCGGUAAUACAGAGGGGGCAAGCGUUGUUCGGAAUUAUUGGGCGUAAAGGGCGCGUAGGCGGUGCGGUAAGUCACCUGUGAAAUCUCUGGGCUC
rnacentral:rRNA from 1 species